UUCUGAGGAAGAAAGCAGGGGGCCCAUUUGGCCUUGCGCUGUUUGAGCGGCCGAUAUCUGAUUAGCUAGUUGUGGGGUAAAGGCCUCCAAGGCGACGAUCAGUAGCGGUCUGAGAGGAUGAUCCGCCACACUGGGACUGAGACACGGCCCAGACUCCUACGGGAGGCAGCAGUGGGGAAUUUUGGACAAUGGGCGCAAGCCUGAUCCAGCCAUGCCGCGUGUCUGAAGAAGGGCUUCGGGUUGUAAAGGACCUUUGUCAGGGAAGAAAAGGACAGGGUUAAUACCCCUUCUGAUGACGUACCUGAAGAUA
rnacentral:rRNA from 1 species